rnacentral:rRNA from 1 species
CCUACGGGAGGCAGCAGUGAGGAAUAUUGGUCAAUGGCCGGGAGGCUGAACCAGCCAAGUCGCGUGAGGGAAGACGGCCCUACGGGUUGUAAACCUCUUUUGUCAGGGAGCAAGGUGCAGGUCGGGACCUGCUGUGAGAGUACCCGAAGAAAAAGCAUCGGCUAACUCCGUGCCAGCAGCGGCGGUAAUACGGAGGAUGCGAGCGUUAGCCGGAUGUGUUGGGUUGGAAGGGUGCGCAGGCGGAGGCACAAGUGAGCGGUAAAAGCGCGGGGCGCAACCCCGCUCCGCCGUUGAAACUGGGUCGCUUGAGUGCGCGAAGGGUAGGCGGAAUGCGUGGUGUAGCGGUGAAAUGCAUAGAUAUCACGCAGAACUCCGAGCGCGAAGGCAGCCUACCGGGGCGCAACUGACGCUCAUGCACGAAAGCGUGGGUAUCGAACAGGAUUAGAUACCCUUGUAGUC